GAGAAGGCCCGAGAUGUUCGCCACGACUCGUUGCAAGCCCUGGAAGUAGAGCGAGGGCAGUGUCUCCAGUGAUGCUCUCGUUGUCUCUUACUGUCUGCUGACUGCGCCAGAAUUCAAAGGGGAGCUGCCGGUGAAGGUUUCUUUCUGUUUAGAAGAUCACCGCGCCGUCGAAACUGGUGCAAGGUCUUUGCACCAGUGGAUGAAACUACCGAUGGUGAUAGAAGGCUUGUGGCAACGUUGACUCCUGCCUUUAUAACUUCGCUGGCGCGCACAAUGUAGCUGAUCGACAAGUGGCGUUGUUGCAGCGCGGUUGUCACAUUUUCUCCUUUUUUAUUAGGUAGGGCUCUGCUAAUAAACGCCUUUCUAAAUAAAUGUUGGUGCUGAGAUAACGGA